AGUGAACGCUGGCGGUAGGCCUAACACAUGCAAGCCGAACGGCAGCACAGUAAGAGCUUGCUCUUACGGGUGGCGAGUGGCGGACGGGUGAGGAAUACAUCGGAAUCUACUUUUUCGUGGGGGAUAACGUAGGGAAACUUACGCUAAUACCGCAUACGACCUACGGGUGAAAGCAGGGGAUCUUCGGACCUUGCGCGAUUGAAUGAGCCGAUGUCGGAUUAGCUAGUUGGCGGGGUAAAGGCCCACCAAGGCGACGAUCCGUAGCUGGUCUGAGAGGAUGAUCAGCCACACUGGAACUGAGACACGGUCCAGACUCCUACGGGAGGCAGCAGUGGGGAAUAUUGGACAAUGGGCGCAAGCCUGAUCCAGCCAUACCGCGUGGGUGAAGAAGGCCUUCGGGUUGUAGAGCCCUUUUGUUGGGAAAGAAAAGCAGCAGGUUAAUACCCCGCUGUUCUGACGGUACCCAAAGAAUAAGCACCGGCUAACUUCGUG
rnacentral:rRNA from 1 species